AGCGAACGCGAUGGUCUUGAAGUUGUUAGAAAUCCAAAGAGGCCUAUCGGCGCUUGGAUACAUUACUAUAACGAUCAAUUAGCCAUGAUGAAAGAGAAGGAUAAAGGAGUGAAGAUAAAUGAUGAUUUGAGGAAAAAAUUGGGCAAGAAGUGGAAUGCACUUUCAAAAGUAGAAAAAGAAAAUUUCAUGGCAAAGUCCAAAGAAAGUUCAAAACAAUAUUCACUUCAAAAGGGUGUGGUUCCAAAGUUAUAUCUUCAAACUCGAUGCUCCCCCGAGCGAGUUAUUAG